CUGAUUGGCCAAUGGUGAUAUGGGGAUGAUGGAAGACUUCCUGAGGUGCAGGUUCCAUUUUGAACCUACUCCAUAGCAAACAUUUUAUUUUUCAGUCACUUUGGAAGACGUUUCUGAGAAUGGUAUAUAUUGAAACAGAUCUCCUUUGCAAGUGACUUCAUGCAGCCAGAGGGGAAAGCACCUCCCAUGUGUGCAGGGAAGAUCCUCACUCCAGUGAAGACCAUGAUCCCUUGAUGGCACAACCAUCUGAUAUGUAGGUGGGAGGACACUUGACUGUGUCUCUUUCAACUCAAGCAGCAUAAUCUAGAAUAGGAAGGAGGGUGUAGGAGAUACAAUUUGCUGCUACAAACAUCCACUAUGAGUCCAGAACUUUGUGAAUUUUGUGCCGUAAAGCUUCUUUCUAAGUUGAAUUUGUUUGCAUGUUAGCUCCACUUGGUAUGUUCCUGUAUGUUAUCACCCAGUUACACAUUUCUACACAGAGGUCUUAAAAUUAGAUAGUGCAUGUUAUAUAAUUUUAACAACUGAGAUCUUUGGUUAUGAAAAAUUCUACCAUUACAAAGCAGAAACACAAAGGAUGAAAAAAAUAAGGGAAUGGAAAACAUUAACCUAGAAGAGUCAUUUUUUAUAAAAGCCUUGACAUGAUUUAUUAAAAUAUGGGAUUUUAUAGAACAAAAUACAUUUACGUAUCCUAGAGACAUUGAAAAAAUGGAAAUAGACAAGGUAUCAUUGAACAGUCAUUCUUUUUUUAUGCACUUUUUCUUUAGAAACUUGGGUUAUAAUAUCUGUUUUAUUAUUGGCUGCUUUUAUUUUUAUACAGUUUGGGCCUGAUCCAGUAUCUUCUUACCAGGAAAGACUAUUCUUUGAAUAGGGAGAAUAGUAUUUCAUCCUUUUGUUUGUUGAUUUUGACUGCACAUUGGAGUUCACUUUUGUUUCAGCUGUUA